CCUACGGGUGGCUGCAGUGGGGAAUAUUGGACAAUGGGCGAAAGCCUGAUCCAGCCAUGCCGCGUGUGUGAAGAAGGCCUUCGGGUUGUAAAGCACUUUCAGUGGGGAAGAAAGCCUUGGGGCUAAUACCCUCGAGGAAGGACAUCACCCACAGAAGAAGCACCGGCUAACUCCGUGCCAGCAGCCGCGGUAAUACGGAGGGUGCGAGCGUUAAUCGGAAUUACUGGGCGUAAAGCGCGCGUAGGCGGUCUGAUAAGCCGGUUGUGAAAGCCCCGGGCUCAACCUGGGAACGGCAUCCGGAACUGUCAGGCUAGAGUGCAGGAGAGGAAGGUAGAAUUCCCAGUGUAGCGGUGAAAUGCGUAGAGAUCGGGAGGAAUACCAGUGGCGAAGGCGGCCUUCUGGACUGACACUGACGCUGAGGUGCGAAAGCGUGGGUAGCAAACAGGAUUAGAUACCCCAGUAGUC
rnacentral:rRNA from 1 species